rnacentral:rRNA from 1 species
UACGGGGGGGGCAAGCGUUGUUCGGAAUUACUGGGCGUAAAGGGCUCGUAGGCGGCCAACUAAGUCGGACGUGAAAUCCCCAGGCUCAACCUGGGAACUGCGUCCGAUACUGGAUGGCUUGAAUCCGGGAGAGGGAUGCAGAAUUCCAGGUGUAGCGGUGAAAUGCGUAGAUAUCUGGAGGAACACCGGUGGCGAAGGCGGCAUCCUGGACCGACACUGACACUGAGGAGCGAAAGCCAGGGGAGCAAACGGG